rnacentral:rRNA from 1 species
UGGAAAGUUUCGGUCAAGGAUCAGCUCGCGGCCUAUCAGCUAGUUGGUGAGGUAACGGCUCACCAAGGACGACGGGUAGCCGGCCUGAGAGGGUGACCGGCCACACUGGGACUGAGACACGGCCCACUCCUACGGGAGGCAGCAGUGGGGAAUAUUGCACAAUGGGCGAAAGCCUGAUGCAGCAGCCGCGUGAGGGACGAAGGCCUUCGGGUUGUAAACCUCUUUUAGUAGGGAAGAAGCGAGUGACGGUACCUGCAGAAAAAGCACCGGCUAACUACGUGCCAGCAGCCGCGGUAAUACAGGGUGCAAGCGUUGUCCGGAAUUAUUGGGCGUAAAGAGCUCGUAGGCGGUUUGUCGCCUGCUGUGAAAACCCGAGGCUCAACCUCGGGCCUGCAGUGGGUACGGGCAGACUAGAGCGGUAGGGGAGAAUGGAAUUCCUGGUGUAGCGGUGGAAUGCGCAGAUAUCAGGAGGAACCAAUGGCGAAGGCAGUUCUCUGGGCCGUAACUGACGCUGAGGAGCGAAAGCGUGGGGCAAACAGGAUUAGAUACCCUGGUAGUCCACGCCGUAAACGUUGGGCGCUAGUUGUGGG